rnacentral:lncRNA from 1 species
GGGGGCUGCCACUAUGGACUAUAUUUGAGGGGUUUGUUAAGAAUCUCACCUCAUAAAGAUCUAUUGUUCUAACCUGAAGUUUAUGGUUGGGGUGGGGGGCCAGUCCUGCAUGUCCUGAGGUCUUCCCUGAGCCUGCCUCCCUGAGCCCAUUCUGCUCUAGAAUUCACAGUGUCACAGCUCAAGAACAUGGGCUCUGCUGGACUCUCUCAGGCACAUUCCCAAAGAAAAUAUAUGCACCAUGUUUCUGACUCUCAGGGUGUUUACUUAGAAAUGCUGUGGUCCUGGAAACCGGUUGUAGAAUGUCUUCUUCAGAGUGCAGAGGAAUUCCUAUCAGGCUGUGGCACAUGGAGAAAGAUUGCACUGUAUUGUGCUGGCUGCUAAGGCCAUCACCUGUUUCUGCCGGGCCUGGCACUAGUCAUGCUGAUUGCGUUUACUCUUUAUUGGUACUGUGCCCUUUACAUCAUGUCCCUGUCCAGAGUUCUGUGCUCUCACUGUCCAGAUCCUCGCCCCCAAGAUGAGAAUCCCGCUCAUCCAUGCAGGCCCCAUCCAGACGUCACUCUCCCUAUGAAGCCUUGAUAACCGCCACCCACUCUGCUCAUGUCCUCCCCAGCAACCAGGCCAGUCUAGAGACUCAUGGGGUAGCUUCAGCAUACUGUCUUGUGGCAAAUGGUUUAUGGGUCAGUUUUAUCUGACAGUUAUACAGUUCUCCAAGGUAAUGGUAAGGUUGUCCUGGUUUCUGAAGCCUCGAU